ensembl:lncRNA
GUCUAAGAGAGGCUGGAAAGCAGGAGUCAGCUCUGCUCUGAUGAGACCAGAGGAGCAAAAGGCAGUGACUGUCUCCUGAUGCCCCUUAAUCUGUGACCACCUAUGGGUCACCCAUCCUGUUAGUUAUUCCUCCUCCCCAAGGGGAGAGAGAUGGGAAAGGUUCACUCGAACCCCCACUACUUUGUAGGCUGGGAAGAGGAAGACUCUCCCUUGGUAGAGAUGUGAAGAAGAGAAAAUGAAGAUUAUCCUCCAAGGAUACUUAACCAAAGUAGCCACUUAACUUCUUCCUUAAAAAGGGACAUAAUUGUCCUUUUUUCCCCCUGCAAUGGACUGAAUUGCACCCCUCCCUAAAUUCAUAUGCUGGAACCCUAACCCCAAAUGUAUUUAGAGAGGAGGGCUUUGGGAGAUAAUUAGGUUCAGAUGAAUUCAUAAGGAUAGUGCCUUCAUGAUGGGAUUACCGCCUUUAUAAGAAGAAAGAAGAGAAAUUGGACAGCUUGCCCACACCUGCUUGCUCUCUCUCUCUCUGCCAUGUGAGGACAUAACAAGAAGUCAAGUCAGCUGUCUACAAGCCAGGAAGAAAGCCCUUACCAGAAUCCACCAUCCUGGCACCCUGAUCUUGGACUUCCAGCCUCCAGAACCGUGAGAAAAUAAAUUUCUGUCUUUUAAGCCACCUGGUCUAUGGUAUUUUGUAAUGGCAGCCCAAGCAAACUAAUACACCUUAGCAAAAAAGGUGACAUUCCUGAUUUUUCACUUUAUUUUUAUCUUGACAUUUGCUAUUCUAAAUGUACUUAUUUUUAAAUUGCAAGCAACCUGAAUUUUUAUAUUUUCUAUAGGCAACUAAUCAUAAACCUGGAAUUCUAAGGCGAACAUGCAUAAGACACGGUGAGCAAACCAAGAUGUUCUCUGGGCAUGACUUGAACAAGCCAGGAUCAGUGAGAACGGGAGUAAUCAGGCACCAAAGAAGGCCCAGAGAGGCUUAACAACUUCCUCAGAAUCACACAGCUUGCAAAGGGUCGGGCUGGGUUUACGUGUAGGCAGUCUGGCUCCAGAGCCGGUACUCCCAACCAUUGCAAGCAACAAACCUCAACGAAGUGGAGAAGGAAAUGCUGGGAAAUUUGGAAGUCAGCCAUGGCCUGUGAAGACCUUUUAAAAUGCUCCGUUUUGGUCAGAAAGUGCUGGGACCCUGGGCUGGCACACCCAACACUCACCAGGAACGAAGUACCUGCUGCCUGUUUUGGACUCGUGUUGGCAGCUUGUUAGCUUUCAUGCCGCCAUUCUCUCUCUCUCUUUUUUUUUAAUUGACAAGACUCUAAUACAAAGUUAUAUUUAUUUUCAACAAUGAAAACAACACAACGUGGAGUCAAUCCACUAUUUAGCACAAUGUUUAGCACAAACUCUACUCAAUAAAUAGAAACACAUUAACCAGGUAAGAUUAUUCCUAAGACUCUCUAGGGUUGUGUGCUUGUUUUAAAGAAAAUUGAGUGGUAGGUAAAUAAAGACUUCCUACAGACUUGACUGAGAAGGGCUCCCUGGCGACCUGAUCUAUUGCCUAUUGGAAAGGGACAGGGCAGGCAGGCAGAGUAGAUGAGGACGGCAGGCAGUGGGCUCCCAGGAGUCUGAGUCCAGCCGGCCAAUCUGUUGAUGAAUGAGGUUGGCUAGACUGUCAAGGAGUGAGAAUUUGUCCCUAUCUAGUUCGCUCCCUCCCUGGCAUGGAGGUAUGGGCACAGAAUGAGUCCUUAGAGGAUGCUUUUGGGGAGAGAGCAGUGAAGACCAAGGUUCUGGGAUGGCCUGAGAGCUCACUUAUCUGGCACGUGGAAGAGCUAGAUGCGUGCAGUCCCUGAAACAUGCACACCAAGUUCCCUUCCCACUGGUCUGAAUGUCUCUCUCAGCUAAUUCUUACUCUUGGAUUCCACUACCUUUGCACUAACAGCUCCUACUGGUGCCAUUUUAUAUCAGCAGAAGUACCUGGCACAGUUGCCUGAGUCAGGCAGGAAGAUCUUUGUGCCCCUCUGGCUGCCCACCCAGUACCUGCCCACACAGCACACAGCAGGAGUACUGAAAAUGCAC